CCAAGAGAGAGAGCUUCGAAUAGUAAUUCAUGGACAAACAUACUGCACAUAUAUCGAAAUAGAAGUGGAAUCUGGAAACACGUUAGGGACCUGAUUGCUCUCAUAUCUGGAGCCAAAAGAAGCCUAUCCUUUUUGGAAAAUGAGAGUGAUGAAAGCAACAUAUGUACCUCCAUGAAUUGCAUCCAAUUUCGAUUCAGUGACUUUAGCAUCAAACAAGAUAUCUCCUUUCUCAACUGCAAUUCUAGGACUGACGAAGGUAAAGCUUAGCAUUGAUGAGAGCUCUAUUGCACCCGCACCCGAUUCGUCAUGGUUGCUAAAAGAAAAACCUUCAGAUGCAGAGCGAGGAGUCUUGUCGUUAACUAGGAAAGAAGAAAAUGACGAUGUCAAUGUAGGAGAUUGCACCUGUUGAUCCUCACCAGUUACAGGCGAUUCAUAGGUGAAGCUGUAGGCUUGAUCCCUGGCAAUGAAUGGGGUAGAGAAAGAACCUCCAGCAAUUUCUAGCUGUCCACGAUUAAGGUUGUCCUGCAGAUCUUUUUUUCUCAAUGACUGAGAUUGAGAGGUUUAAUUACCUUUUAAUUACAAUUGACUUGCGACUGUUGUGAAGAG